AUGUGGAGGAAAGUAGGGGAAAUGGCCGAUACUACUGGAAGAAUUUCUCUUUGGCUGAUAGGUACUAUAGAUGGUAUUGCUGUGAUUGGUUUAGUAGGUGUUUUCUUUUAUGGUUCAUAUUCUGGAUUGGGUUCAUCCCUAUAG
rnacentral:rRNA from 1 species